UGCUUUGGAUUAUAAAUAAGGAUAUCUUGAAUACACACAAAUUAACCAAACUAGUUAAUAUGGCUUCUAAAAAAACCUCCCUUGUUUGGGUUUUCCUCAUUUUGUGUGUUAUUUCAUUAUGUGACAAGACAACAACUAUGAAGCUAGUUGGUGCUUCUCAGCUUCAUGCAAGGUCACAUGAAAUGGUUAUGGUUAAGAGUAGAAGGUUAGGGUGCCAUAACGAUGCUGAUGUUCCUCGUUGUGGCAAUUACGGCUAUCCAACCAGUCACAAAUGAUUAUAAUUUAUCCUCAAAAAAUAUGAUGUUCCUCGUUGUGGCACCAUAUUCAAUCAUUUAUAAAUUAUUAUGUAUGAUGUUGUAUUUAUUGUCAGAACUAAGAUUUAUAUUGGAUACAAUAUGGAUCUGUUUAGUUGUAAUCGGUUUUACUUUCAUAUAGAUUCAUGUUUGUAUCAUCGAUUGUAUUUGUAUCAUUAUAAUAAUAAAAAGAGAGUGGUUCUUCUUUGAAUAAAA